rnacentral:rRNA from 1 species
UACGAAGGGUGCAAACGUUGCUCGGAAUUAUUGGGCGUAAAGCGCACGUAGGCGGCUUGGCAAGUCGGAUGUGAAAUCCCUCGGCUCAACCAAGGAAGUGCAUCCGAAAUUGCUGAGCUUGAGUACUUAAGAGGAUCGCGGAAUUCCCGGUGUAGAGGUGAAAUUCGUAGAUAUCGGGAGGAACACCAGUGGCGAAGGCGGCGUCCUGGACCAACACUGACACUGAGGAGCGAAAGCCAGGGGAGCAAACGGG